CCCAAGCAGGGUCCAGGCUCUGAGCUGUCAGCACAGCACAGGCUCCAGCUCACGAACUGAACCGUGAUAUCAUGGCCUGAGCCAAAGCGGGAUGCUUAUCUGACAGAUCCACCCCGGCGCCCCGGCUUUACCUUUGAAACAACACCAGAAUCCUGUCACUUCUCACCACCUCCACUGCUGCUGUGUUUCUUCUGCUUUCAGUCAGUAAGGGACAGCCAGGUUCUUAGCUCAUAGAAGAGACUCAAGCUUUGAUUCCCGAGAGAUCUGUGCCCUGGGGGACCCUCUUGUAUGGAACUGCAGCAGUCUUGCUGUGACUCUGAUCACAGGAUUUGUGCUAGGAAUAGGAUCAUUCGAGAAUACAGGAGCAUGAAGCGUUCAAAAUGGUUGGGUGGCAGUUUCAACUUCCAGUUUGGUGGGAAAACUGUGUCACUUGGUGGAGGCAUUCGUCCCUCAGACACUACAGGCUUUUAACACACCUCUCCUCCGUAUAGUCAUGAGGCCAAGAAGCAAAGAAUGUUUGAGUUGUAAAACGGUUUCAUUGUGAGAGAGCCACUCCUACAUCCAGCCCCUUGGUCCUCGAACUGCUCUCUGGCUAAAGGAGAAACAGUACGUACCCUGGUUCAGAGCAUUACUAUAUCCUGUGGAUGGCUCUCUAGUUCAUGAAGUGUCUACAGCUGGGACCUUACGUGGACCUUCAGGAGCCCUUUCUACCAUGGUAGAAUGCUGACUAAUGGAGCACGUGGUAAGACCAAUGACUCCUGCGGGUAUCCCCUGCUCAGUUUCCCACUUCUUGUCUUGCAAAGUGAUUUCCAUGGUUAGAAACAAUAUUUUGUGAGAUAACAAGACUGCGUAUUAAGUCCA